rnacentral:lncRNA from 1 species
GGGGAAGUACCAAACUCUAACCAUUGGUGGAGUAUGGGAACCCCUUCUUGGGAGAAUGGCUCCAGGAUGCAAUUGGGUAGAAUGUCCCCCAGACUGGCGGAAAAUUCCUCACUGUCUUUCUCUUUCUCACUGUCUUUGUCCUUUUCUCUCCUGGGGACCAUACGCCAGGCACCUAUUACUGUCAGGCAGAAUAGGGAAGAUGUUCAAGGGAUGCCCCCAUCAUCCCUUGCUACAGGAACUCCAUUGGGGGGAUUUUCAAGGUAAUGGCUCCCUUUCUCUGGGACCAUUCACCAGUCACCUAUUCCUGCCAGGCAGAAUAGGGAAGAUGUUCAAGGGAUGCCCCCAUCAUCCCUUGCUACAGGAACCCCAAUGGGGGGAUUUUCAAGGUAAUGGCUCCCUUUCUCUGGGACCAUUCACCAGGCACCUAUUCCUGCCAGGCAGAAUAGGGAAGAUGUUCAAGGGAUGCCCCCAUCAUCCCUUGCUACAGGAACCCCAUUGGGGGGAUUUUCAUGGUAAUGGCCCCUUUUCUUUCUCCUUUUCUCUCGGGAACCAUUCACCAGGCCUAUGCUGUCAGGCAGAAUAGGCACCAGGCAACUGUUACUGCCAGGCAUAACAGGGAAGGUAUACAAGGGAUGCAAUGCCGGGGGACGCCCCCAUCACCCCUUGCUAUAGGAACCCCACAGUAGGAACAACGGGUAGGACGCUACCCUAGGUUCAGGGGGGAUUUUUCAUGGUAAUGGACCCGUUUCUUUUGUCUCUCUUGGAGUUACAAUGGCAAUUUUCAUCUCCUUUUGAGCCUUGUGACUGGGAAACAAAGAAAUCUUUAAAGAGUAAAAGGCUCCACCCCUGGGAGCCCCAACUUUGGGUUUCUGGGCCUGAUCACCCCAGCAACCCUAAGUGGGGGUGCCCUCUCUUGACAGUCGACUCAUUGAGUAUUUUAGUCACCUGCUGAGUCGGUUAUGAGGGUAGGAGACCUGUGAUUUAUUCUGUGAACUGUCGUGCUAGCGUAGUGUGCCCCAGUACAGGAACUGUUGUGUGACUCUUAUCUUGAUAACCCUCUGGAAGAGGCCAUGAGGGUGAGGUCUGAUCUCUUCUUUUCCUUUCUUUGUCUGUUUUGCUCAUCAUCUCUUCUGUUGUCACU